rnacentral:rRNA from 1 species
UCGGGAAUUUUGGGCAAUGGGCGAAAGCCUGACCCAGCAACGCCGCGUGAAGGAUGAAGUAUUUCGGUAUGUAAACUUCGAAAGAAUAGGAAGAAUAAAUGACGGUACUAUUUAUAAGGUCCGGCUAACUACGUGCCAGCAGCCGCGGUAAUACGUAGGGUGCGAGCGUUAAUCGGAAUUACUGGGCGUAAAGCGUGCGCAGGCGGCUUUGCAAGACAGAUGUGAAAUCCCCGGGCUCAACCUGGGAACUGCAUUUGUGACUGCAAGGCUAGAGUACGGUAGAGGGGGAUGGAAUUCCGCGUGUAGCAGUGAAAUGCGUAGAUAUGCGGAGGAACACCGAUGGCGAAGGCAAUCCCCUGGACCUGUACUGACGCUCAUGCACGAAAGCGUGGGGAGCAAACAGGAUUAGAUACCCCUGUAGUCCCUGAGCGGGCUGGCAAGGCGCAU